rnacentral:rRNA from 1 species
GCAAGUCGAGGGGUAACAUAGGUGCAUGUACUUGAUUUCGAUCACGGACCGGGUGCGUAACGCGUAUAGAAACUGCCUUUUACAGGAGGAUAACCCUGAGAAAUGAUGACUAAUACUCCAUAAUAUUGGAUUGUGGCAUCACUGACUAAUUAAACAUCUAGGGGUACAAGAUGACUAUGCGUCAUAUUAGCUAGUUGGUGAGGUAACGGCUCACCAAGACGACGAUGUGUAGGGGGUCUGAGAGGAUUGUC